UUAUUGACUUCAAAUUUCCCUCAUAGACGACUGUCAAUCACUGAAGAGCAUGUGCUGUAUGGUAUUUACAAUGAAAAUUUGCACAAGCAUGUUAGGAGAUAGAAUUUCCAAAGAAUUUGAUUUCUUUAGGCAAAUGUGCAAAUUAAAUGACAAUUUCUUUGUUUCAAAAUAUCUAGCACAUUAUGUUACAAGAUGGUGUGAACAAUUAUAAGUCAGUAAUGAAAAUAAUGAGUCAAGGAUACAGAGGCUAAACUAUGCUAAGGAUCAAAUAAAAUUAGACAACUUAAGAGUGUUUUAUUAUUGCUGCACAAAUUCAAUACUUC
rnacentral:misc_RNA from 1 species